rnacentral:miRNA from 1 species
UGCAGUGAUGAGACCCUGGA